CAGAGUUCAGACCAGAUGCAGGAAAGGAAUGAAUACUUAAGGUUUCAAAGGCUCUCCAGAACUGAAAAGAGGCACAGAGGCCGCAGGAUCAGCAGGAUGGGUGCCAAAACCUGCUGUGGCACCAUGCCUUUGCAAAGGUGGAUCUUCAGAGGAGAAGGACUGUGUGUAUGGCUGAAGGAGUGGACCCUGAGCACUGGGCAGGCCUUUCAAGGUGCCAGAGCUCCCUCCGCACCGUGUUUUCCCAGAGCCAGGGCGCUGAGCUGUGGGAACUAGGUUUGGCCAGCUCCCUGAAAACUUCCACCUGCUGAGAGCUCCAGUUGUCUCCCUGCCAUCGUGAUGAACGUGCUGCAGAGCGCAAAACUGGGGGUCUCCAUCUGCCUUGGAACUCAGAAAGCAGCCUUCACCUUGUUUGUUUCAGUAGCUCCAUAUUGUCAAUCUCCUUGACUGACUUUCCCAAGUCACAUCUGGCAGGCUCUGUGACCAGGACUGAUGUCUGUGAGGCUUCAGGCAUUUGGCUGGACAAGCAGAAACCUUCAGCGAAUAUCCUCAGUCAGUCCCUGGGCAGAGGACUGACUGGCCCCUGAGGACUGGAACCUGGAGUGGGCACAGGGCAUCAUACACUUUGUCUGCCAUCAUCUUCUGUUGGAAGGAAAACCCUGGCCUAGGAAGGAUUUGGAAGGUGGGAGAAAGACUUAGGGGAGAGAAGGAAAAGAACCAACUGCCUGCAGUCUGGAUGAUCCUGCUUCUGUGCUUGCCAGCCUUGCUUGCAGCUUCUAUUGGGCACAGAGGGAGCUGGGCUAGCAGGCAGCCACUCUCAAAGAUGGCUGGCUGCAUCUGUGUGCGGUGCCUCUCAGCCAAGCGGACUCCUCUCAACUGCGUGCCGGCAGCAAAAACUCCAGAUCUCUGGUCGCUCCAAAGGCUGUUCUAGAAAAACCUCUGGUCUGGAGGACCAAGGCCUAACUAAAGGUAGGGGAGGCCACUCCUGCUGUCCAACCCAAGGUCUCUUCCCUGCCCCUGCCCUUCAUUAAAUUACCAAAUAAAGUCUGAAGUGCAGAUUUCCUUGCUCUCAAACUUUCCUUAUCACAGAACCAUAGAAACACAGGCAGUGGGAAGCCUCAGGAGUCCUCUACCCCAAACCCUUUAGGGCCCACCCUGCUGCAAGUUCUCAGGAAAGAUGACCCAGGACUUUAUCCAAGUACAAGGUACCUAUUUUCUAAAAAAGAUUUUACUCAUUGUUGUUGUUGUUUGAGACAGAGUCUUGCUCUGUCGCCCAGGCUGGAGUGCAGUGGCACAAUCUCAGCUCACUUCAG
rnacentral:lncRNA from 10 species